rnacentral:rRNA from 1 species
UCGCAACUAUAAACUUUGUCGCCCAAGGGGUAGUGGUAGUUACAUGAUGACACCCCUAUAACUUUGUGAGAAAUCACAAGUAUUUGGACUCUGGGGGAAGUAUGGUCGCAAGGCUGAAACUUAAAGGAAUUGACGGAAGGGCACCACCAGGAGUGGAACCUGCGGCUUAAUUUGACUCAACACGGGGAAACUUACCAGGUCCAGACACAAUAAGGAUUGACAGAUUGAUAGCUCUUUCUUGAUUCUGUGGAAAGUGGUGCAUGGCCGUUUUUAGUUGGUGGAUUGAUUUGUCUGGUUAAUUCCGUUAACGAACGAGACCUAAACCUACUAACUAGUUAAUGGUAACUUGGACUCUAUAUUAGGGACCUCACCUUUAUCCAAACUUCUUAGAGGGACUCUUUAUACUUAGUGAAUGGAAGUUUUAGGC